GACGGAGGAUGCAAGUGUUAUCCGGAAUCACUGGGCGUAAAGCGUCUGUAGGUGGUUUAAUAAGUCAACUGUUAAAUCUUGAGGCUCAACCUCAAAAUCGCAGUCGAAACUAUUAGGCUAGAGUAUAGUAGGGGUAAAGGGAAUUUCCAGUGGAGCGGUGAAAUGCGUAGAGAUUGGAAAGAACACCGAUGGCGAAGGCACUUUACUGGGCUAUUACUAACACUCAGAGACGAAAGCUAAGGGUAGCAAAUGGGG
rnacentral:rRNA from 1 species